UGUAGAACCUCUAUAUGUCUGGGAGCGGGGGAUCGACCGCUCAACGACUACAGAUCUGUCAUCUACUACCAGGUCAAACAACCACGCUGGAUGGAGACGUUCAAGGUGGCCAUCCCUUUGGAGGAGAUGCACAGGAUCCACCUGCGCUUCAUGUUCAGACACCGCUCCUCUCAGGAGUCUAAGGAUAAGAGUGAGAAGACUUUGCCAUGGCAUUUGUUCGCCUGAUGAAGGAAGAUGGAACCGUGCUGAAGGACGGGCUUCAUGACCUGGUGGUCUUCAAGGGGGACAGUAAGCGUAUGGAGGAUGUGAACUCGUACCUGUCCCUACCCUCUACGCGUUAUGUGGACGUUCACAAGACGGGACACUGAGCCGCAGCACCAG